GCAAACUUGGUCAUUUAGAGGAAGUAAAAGUCGUAACAAGGUCUCCGUUGGUGAACCAGCGGAGGGAUCAUUACAGAGUCUCGCACUCGCCCAAACCACUGUGAACACUACCCACGUUGCUUCGGCGUCAUCCCGCGCCAGCGUCCCCCCUCCCCUCGUGGUGGCGGGCUCGCUGCCGGCGGCGUCGGGGACCCCCUAACCAUGCACUCUGUGGCAUAUCGGAAACAAAACAAGCAAAUAAAACUUUCAGCAACGGAUCUCUUGGCUCUGGCAUCGAUGAAGAACGCAGC
rnacentral:misc_RNA from 1 species